UACGGAGGGUGCAAGCGUUAUCCGGAUUCACUGGGUUUAAAGGGUGCGUAGGUGGGCAAGUAAGUCAGUGGUGAAAUCUCCGGGCUUAACCCGGAAACUGCCAUUGAUACUAUUUGUCUUGAAUACUGUGGAGGUCAGCGGAAUAUGUCAUGUAGCGGUGAAAUGCUUAGAUAUGACAUAGAACACCAAUUGCGAAGGCAGCUGGCUACACAAAUAUGACACUG
rnacentral:rRNA from 1 species